GAGGGUGUAGCUCAAGUGGUAGAGUGCAUGCCUAGCAUGCACGAGGCCCUGGGUUCAAUCCCCAGUACCUCCU
rnacentral:tRNA from 1 species